rnacentral:tRNA from 1 species
GGAGGGGUGGCCGAGUGGUUGAAGGCGCACGCCUGGAAAGUGUGUAGGGGUGAAAGCCUCUCGCGGGUUCGAAUCCCGCUCCCUCCG